CGACUAGUGGGCACCACCGGAACAGUGGCUAAUACCGGAUGUGCCGAGAGGUGAAAGAUUUAUUGCCAUAAGAGGAGCUCGCGUCUGAUUAGCUAGUUGGUAGGGUAAAGGCCUACCAAGGCAACGAUCAGUAGCUGGUCUGAGAGGAUGAGCAGCCACACUGGGACUGAGACACGGCCCAGACUCCUACGGGAGGCAGCAGUGGGGAAUUUUCCGCAAUGGGCGAAAGCCUGACGGAGCAAUACCGCGUGAGGGAGGAAGGCUUUUGGGUUGUAAACCUCUUUUAUCAGGGAAGAAGAAAGUGACGGUACCUGAGGAAAAAGCAUCGGCUAACUCCGUGCCAGCAGCCGCGGUAAUACGGAGGAUGCAAGCGUUAUCCGGAAUUAUUGGGCGUAAAGCGUCCGUAGGUGGUACCUCAAGUCGGCUGUUAAAGACCAGGGCUUAACUCUGGGCAGGCAGUGGAAACUGAGGAACUAGAGGGCAGUAGGGGUAGAGGGAAUUCCCGGUGUAGCGGUGAAAUGCGUAGAUUUCGGGAAGAACAUCGGUGGCGAAGGCGCUCUACUGGACUGAACCUGACACUGAGGGACGAAAGCUAGGGGAGCGAAUGGGAUUAGAUACCCCAGUAGUCCUAGCUGUAAACGAUGGAUACUAGGUGUAGCUUGUAUCGACCCAAGCUGUGCCGAAGCCAACGCGUUAAGUAUCCCGUAAACGAUGUACGCACGCAAGUGUGAAACUCAAAGGAAUUGACGGGGGCCCGCACAAGCGGUGGAGUAUGUGGUUUAAUUCGAUGCAACGCGAAGAACCUUACCAGGGCUUGACAUGUCGCGAAUCCCGGUGAAAGCUGGGAGUGCCUUCGGGAGCGCGAACACAGGUGGUGCAUGGCUGUAGUCAGCUCGUGUCGUGAGAUGUUGGGUUAAGUCCCGCAACGAGCGCAACCCUCGUUUUUAGUUGCCAGCACGUGAUGGUGGGCACUCUAGAGAGACUGCCGGUGACAAACCGGAGGAAGGUGGGGAUGACGUCAAGUCAGCAUGCCCCUUACGCCCUGGGCKACACACGUACUACAAUGGUCAGGACAAUGGGCAGCCAACUCGCAAGGGGGAGCUAAUCUCAUCAAACCUGGCCUCAGUUCAGAUUGCCGGCUGCAACUCGCCGGCAUGAAGGAGGAAUCGCUAGUAAUCGCCGGUCAGAAUACGGCGGUGAAUCCGUUCCCGGGCCUUGUACACACCGCCCGUCACACCAUGGAAGCUGGCCACGCCCGAAGUCGUACCCUAACCCAUUGGAGGGGAUGCCGAAGGUCGUGG
rnacentral:rRNA from 2 species